ACCAUGAUGCAGUCUAUACAGAAACUGAUAAAUAAUAAUGUACACCUGAAAUUACACAGUUAUAAACCAGUAUGACUUCAACAAAAUAAUUGAAAAAAAUUUUAAAUAAAAACCUCUUUAUAUAUCAGAAAACAAAAAUCAGACUGCCUUCCCUCUCCAUGCCUACAGGCAUCUGCUUUUUGAAGAGAACCUAGCUCUUAAGUUGAUACUAUUGAGAGGUAUUAGUUAGAGCUCUCAAGAUACAGGCAAUCCUCACUGACCCAAGGGCAGGUGUGCAACUGGGGCUCAAAAAGGCUUUAUUUUUCUCUCUCUCUGCAGCUUUCUGUGCUACAUAAUCUGCAUGAAGGAAGAUGAAUACACCACAGCUCCAGAGGUCUAAGGGAUCAUUCCAGAUGAUGAACUAGGAUCCUUCAGUCCUUAUUCCAAUUGACUUAGAUGAAUUUGGCACUGCAGAUUAUACGAGAUGAGUGUCAGCCAUCACCGCUCACCAUGGGCCUGACUUGCCCGGCCUCCUUGAACCGAUGAGGGUGGUUCAAGCUUCAUUCUAGCUUCAGGUGAGUGCACUUGUCUCUAGUUCUCCAUAACAGCAUGUCUGGCUCGUGAGCAAACGAAGGUAUCACAUUUGUUACCUCGAUAAUUUAUUAUGAAAAUUCUGAAAUAAUAUGCAAAAUCUUUUGAUAUAGCACUAGAGGAUAAAAUCCUCAAAACUAUAGAUUCCUAGUAAUUGCAUCCUAUGUGUAUCUCAUCAUCAGUGCUUUGUACUAGAUAAGCACUCGGUGAAUCUUUGUUAGAUAAAUGGAUUGCAACCAGGUCAAGAUAGGUAUGAAAAUGACCAAAAACUAGAAGAGAACUUGAAAAAGUGAAGCAAUUAUUGUGUUAAAAAAGUCGGAUUAUGUGUGAUUUUUUUUCUGUUUAAAAAUAUCUUUCAAUAUGAUAGCAGUAAUGCUUUAAUAAUAACCACAACUUAAGUUGACAUUUAAUUCAGUUUAUCAAGGAUUGUUCAACUAAACAUAUGCUUAACCCUACGGAACAUAUAAGAAUAGCUAAGCCAAAGGCUCUAUCUUGGAAAACCACAUUGUGUCCUGGAAAAUAGGGCAGAAUCAUGAAACAGAGAAGUUUCAAACAGAUCAUGACUUGAUGGAACGCCCAAAUGAGCAAUACACAGAAGCCCUGUAAGCAAAAAGAGCUCCAGCUCACGCUCCAGAAAAAUCUAUAGAACCUUAAACACUCAAGAGAGAAG
rnacentral:lncRNA from 1 species